CCUACGGGCGGCAGCAGUGGGGAAUAUUGCGCAAUGGGGGAAACCCUGACGCAGCAACACCGCGUGAAUGAAGAAGGUCUUCGGAUCGUAAAGUUCUGUUAUUGGGGAAGAAAAAGACGGUACCCAAGGAGAAAGUUCCGGCUAACUACGUGCCAGCAGCCGCGGUAAUACGUAGGGAACAAGCGUUGUCCGGAUUUACUGGGCGUAAAGGGCACGCAGGCGGUUUUUUAAGUCAGAUGUGAAAGGUACCGGCUCAACCGGUGACAUGCAUUUGAAACUGAAAGACUUGAGUAUUGGAGAGGCAAGUGGAAUUCCUAGUGUAGCGGUGAAAUGCGUAGAGAUUAGGAGGAACACCAGUGGCGAAGGCGGCUUGCUGGACCGAUACUGACGCUGAGGUGCGAAAGCGUGGGGAGCAAACAGGAUUAGAUACCCCGGUAGUC
rnacentral:rRNA from 1 species